UCUUUAGUUUUUUUGGCUGAAGCAGCUUUCUUUGGAAGCCCGAAACCCUACCUAAGGACGACACCGUUUCUCUCGUGUUCGUUCACCACGAGGGGCAUCUCGUCUCUCCCCUAGUGUUCUGGCUUUGAUUCUGUAUUUUGAAGCCAAAAGAUAGGGCUACUGGUUUCCGUUUUUUGGUUGUCCUUUUUUUGAAUGUCGUCGCAAUCUCAGAAUCGCGGAUGCCCUUGUUCCGGAAUCGAAUUAACUUUCUUGGCUGAUUAUAAAAACCCUCAGUUCUCUACUUAUUCUGUUGUUUGAUUGACUACGUUUCUGCUUUUGCUUUCUCUGUUUCCUUUCUCUUGCCUGGGUUGGUACUUGCGCAUUGGUUUUCCUUUUAUCUGUUUUUCGGGGUUUUCUGGAGAUCGUUGUUUAAUCAUCGAUUGUGAAACAAUACGUAUCUAUCAGCAGCUUGUAUCGGUGAUGAGAAUGUAUGAAACGUCAUCCUUGCACUUUGAUUUCCCAUGAAGAAAAUCCACGGGGAGAAUUGAAACUGAGAUGCUUCUGCUGCUUCUUUUGCUUUCUGUAGUCCUUUUACGGCCUCCUUCUUGUUAUGUGGAGAAGAGAGAGUAAAUAGCUUCCAGCAGCGGAUGGCACGCGUGAGCCCUUCAACCCUAGUGGAGUCCAGAUUUGUCGUGCAUCGAAUAGCAUAUGUUCUCCGACAUCAGCAAGAAGAGAGAGAGGGGGAGAUAGAGAGAGAAAAGAAAAGUAAUGUGUAUGAUUUUUGCUUUGCUUGUAUGAGGCCACGACUAGGGUAAUCGGAUGAUCAACCCUAAAAAAACAGAAGUUGCUGAACAAUGUAUAGCGAACCUUAUAGGAUUUUUGUACGCCCAGGAAACUGUUUUGUAAAUCCAAUAUCUUGAAUGAAAUUACUUUUUUUGAAAUA